GCUCCGAUGGUGUAGUCCGGUAAUCAUUCCGGCCUUUCAAGCCGGGGACCCGGGUUCAAGUCCCGGUCGGAGCACCA
rnacentral:tRNA from 1 species